CUCAAGCAGGACCGGUUCCUUGCACACUGCAAUUGGAGCUGGGUGCAG
rnacentral:tRNA from 1 species